rnacentral:rRNA from 1 species
AACGAACGCUGGCGGCAUGCCUAACACAUGCAAGUCGAACGAGACCUUCGGGUCUAGUGGCGCACGGGUGCGUAACGCGUGGGAACCUGCCCUUAGGUUCGGAAUAACUCCCCGAAAGGGGUGCUAAUACCGGAUAAUGUCUUCGGACCAAAGAUUUAUCGCCUUUGGAUGGGCCCGCGUUGGAUUAGCUAGUUGGUAGGGUAAAAGCCUACCAAGGCGACGAUCCAUAGCUGGUCUGAGAGGAUGAUCAGCCACACUGGGACUGAGACACGGCCCAGACUGCUACGGGAGGCAGCGGGGGGAAAUUGUGGACGAUGGGAGAAUGCCUGAUCCAGCAAGCCCGGGAGAGUGAUGAAGGCCGUAGGAUUGUAAAGCUCUUUUACCCGGGAUGCUAAUGACGGUACCGGACGAGGAAGAUCCGGCUAACUCCG